GACGAACGCUGGCGGCGCGCUUAACACAUGCAAGUCGAGCGAGAACCAAGCCUUCGGGCUUGGGGACAGCGGCGAACGGGUGAGCAACACGUGAGUAAUCCACCCUUGGUACCGGGAUAGCUCGGGGAAACGUCGAAUUAAUACCGGAUAGCCCAUUAGCCUUUCGGGGCGGAAUGGAAAAGGUAAGCUUCGGCCUCCGACCAAGGACGAGCUCGCGGCGGAUUAGCUUGUUGGCGGGGUAAGU
rnacentral:rRNA from 1 species